AAUCUUAAUUGUUCACAGACC
rnacentral:miRNA from 1 species